rnacentral:rRNA from 1 species
ACGAACGCUGGCGGCGUGCCUAACCCCUGCAAGUCGCACGCUUCUUUCCUCCCGAGUGCUUGCACUCAAUUGGAAAGAGGAGUGGCGGACGGGUGAGUAACACGUGGGUAACCUACCCAUCAGAGGGGGAUAACACUUGGAAACAGGUGCUAAUACCGCAUAACAGUUUAUGCCGCAUGGCAUAAGAGUGAAAGGCGCUUUCGGGUGUCGCUGAUGGAUGGACCCGCGGUGCAUUAGCUAGUUGGUGAGGUAACGGCUCACCAAGGCCACGAUGCAUAGCCGACCUGAGAGGGUGAUCGGCCACACUGGGACUGAGACACGGCCCAGACUCCUACGGGAGGCAGCAGUAGGGAAUCUUCGGCAAUGGACGAAAGUCUGACCGAGCAACGCCGCGUGAGUGAAGAAGGUUUUCGGAUCGUAAAACUCUGUUGUUAGAGAAGAACAAGGACGUUAGUAACUGAACGUCCCCUGACGGUAUCUAACCAGAAAGCCACGGCUAACUACGUG